AGAAUCUUUCGCAAUGGGCGCAAGCCUGACGAAGCGACGCCGUGUGAGCGGAGAAGGCCUUCGGGUUGUAAAGCUCUUUCGCCAGGGAACAAGAGAUAUGGGACAAUACCCCAUAGAUUUGCUGGUACUUGGUAAAGCAGCACCGGCUAACUCCGUGCCACCAGCUGCGGUAAUACGGAGGGUGCAAGCCUUGAUCGGAAUUACUGGGCGUAAAGGGCGCGUAGGCGGUGCAAUAAGUCAGAUGUGAAAUUCCGGGGCUCAACCCCGGAGCGGCAUUUGAAACUGUUGCGCUAGAGUACAGUUAGGGUAAACGGAAUUCCACGUGUAGCGGUGAAAUGCGUAGAUAUGUGGAAGAACACCGGUGGUGAAGACGGUUUACUGGACUGUAACUGACGCUGAGGCGCGAAAGCAUGGGGAGCAAAC
rnacentral:rRNA from 1 species